GAUGAAGAACGUAGUGAAAUGCGAUACUUGGUGUGAAUUGCAGAAUCCCGUGAACCAUCGAGUCUUUGAACGCAAGUUGCGCCCGAAGCCAUUAGGCCGAGGGCACCCCUGCCUGGGCGUCACACGUCGUUGCCCCCCCAUCUACUCCUUCGGGAUUGCGGGGGGCGGAUGAUGGCCUCCCGUGCGCCUCGUCGCGCGGUUGGCAUAAAUGCCAAGUCCUCGGCGACGCACGCCACGACAAUCGGUGGUUGCGAAACCUCGGUUGCCCGUCGUGUGCGGUCGUCGCGCAUCGAGGGCUCGAAAAAAUUGCCGGGCUCCGGCUCGGCUUUCAACGCGACCCCAGGUCAGGCGGGGUUACCCGCUGAAUUUAAGCAUAUCAAUAAGCGGAGGA
rnacentral:misc_RNA from 1 species